GAGGGUAUAGCUCAGUGGCAGAGUGCAUGCGUGGCACGCAUGAGGUCCUGAGUUCAAUCCCCAGUACCGCCA
rnacentral:tRNA from 1 species